CGACCGCGUGAGCGAAGAAGGCCUUCGGUCGUAAAGCUCUGUUGUUAGGGAAGAACAAGUAUCGGAGUAACUGCCGGUACCUUGACGGUACCUAACCAGAAAGCCACGGCUAACUACGUGCCAGCAGCCGCGGUAAUACGUAGGUGGCAAGCGUUGUCCGGAAUUAUUGGGCGUAAAGCGCGCGCAGGCGGUCCUUUAAGUCUGAUGUGAAAGCCCACGGCUCAACCGUGGAGGGUCAUUGGAAACUGGGGGACUUGAGUGCAGAAGAGGAGAGUGGAAUUCCACGUGUAGCGGUGAAAUGCGUAGAGAUGUGGAGGAACACCAGUGGCGAAGGCGACUCUCUGGUCUGUAACUGACGCUGAGGCGCGAAAGCGUGGGGAGCAAACAGGAUUAGAUACCCUGGUAGUCCACGCCGUAAACGAUGAGUGCUAAGUGUUAGAGGGUUUCCGCCCUUUAGUGCUGCAGCUAACGCAUUAAGCACUCCGCCUGGGGAGUACGGCCGCAAGGCUG
rnacentral:rRNA from 1 species